UGCAGUCGACGAUGAGCUGGAGCUUGCUCCAGGGAUUAGUGGCGAACGGGUGAGUAACACGUGAGUAACCUGCCCUUGACUCUGGGAUAAGCGCUAGAAAUGGCGUCUAAUACCGGAUACGAGCUUCAGCCGCAUGGCUAGGAGUUGGAAAGAAUUUUGGUCAAGGAUGGACUCGCGGCCUAUCAGCUAGUUGGUGAGGUAAUGGCUCACCAAGGCGACGACGGGUAGCCGGCCUGAGAGGGUGACCGGCCACACUGGGACUGAGACACGGCCCAGACUCCUACGGGAGGCAGCAGUGGGGAAUAUUGCACAAUGGGCGAAAGCUUGAUGCAGCAACGCCGCGUGAGGGAUGACGGCCUUCGGGUUGUAAACCUCUUUUAGUAGGGAAGAAGCGAAAGUGACGGUACCUGCAGAAAAAGCACCGGCUAACUACGUGCCAGCAGCCGCGGUAAUACGUAGGGUGCAAGCGUUGUCCGGAAUUAUUGGGCGUAAAGAGCUCGUAGGCGGUUUGUCGCGUCUGCUGUGAAAUCUGGGGGCUCAACCCCCAGCCUGCAGUGGGUACGGGCAGACUAGAGUGCGGUAGGGGAGAUUGGAAUUCCUGGUGUAGCGGUGGAAUGCGCAGAUAUCAGGAGGAACACCGAUGGCGAAGGCAGAUCUCUGGGCCGUAACUGACGCUGAGGAGCGAAAGCAUGGGGAGCGAACAGGAUUAGAUACCCUGGUAGUCCAUGCCGUAAACGUUGGGAACUAGAUGUGGGGGCCAUUCCACGGUCUCCGUGUCGCAGCUAACGCAUUAAGUUCCCCGCCUGGGGAGUACGGCCGCAAGGCUAAAACUCAAAGGAAUUGACGGGGGCCCGCACAAGCGGCGGAGCAUGCGGAUUAAUUCGAUGCAACGCGAGAACCUUACCAAGGCUUGACAUAUACCGGAAACGUCCA
rnacentral:rRNA from 1 species